rnacentral:rRNA from 1 species
AUUGAACGCUGGCGGCAGGCUUAACACAUGCAAGUCGAACGAGCGGCGGACGGGUGAGUAAUGUCUGGGAAACUGCCUGAUGGGGGGGGAUAACUACUGGAAACGGUAGCUUAUACCGCAUACCAUCAGAUGUGCCCAGAUGGGAUUAGCUGGUGGGUGGGGUAAUGGCUCACCUAGGCGACGAUCCCAAGCUGGUCUGAGAGGAUGACGAGCCACACGGGAACUGAGAAACGGUCAAGACGCCGACGGAAGGCAGCAGUGGGGAAUAUUGCACAAUGGGCGCAAGCCUGAUGAAGCCAUGCCGGGUGUUGGAAGAAGGCCUUCGGGUUGUAAAGCACUUUCAGCGAGGAGGCGUUACUCGAAGAAGAAGCACCGGCUAACUCCGUGCCAGCAGCCGCGGUAAUUC